rnacentral:rRNA from 1 species
CCGAAUGGGGAAACCCAGUGUGUUUCGACACACUAUCAUUAACUGAAUCCAUAGGUUAAUGAGGCGAACCGGGGGAACUGAAACAUCUAAGUACCCCGAGGAAAAGAAAUCAACCGAGAUUCCCCCAGUAGCGGCGAGCGAACGGGGAGGAGCCCAGAGCCUGAAUCAGUGUGUGUGUUAGUGGAAGCGUCUGGAAAGGCGCGCGAUACAGGGUGACAGCCCCGUACACAAAAAUGCACAUAUUGUGAGCUCGAUGAGUAGGGCGGGACACGUGGUAUCCUGUCUGAAUAUGGGGGGACCAUCCUCCAAGGCUAAAUACUCCUGACUGACCGAUAGUGAACCAGUACCGUGAGGGAAAGGCGAAAAGAACCCCGGCGAGGGGAGUGAAAAAGAACCUGAAACCGUGUACGUACAAGCAGUGGGAGCCUCUUUAUGGGGUGACUGCGUACCUUUUGUAUAAUGGGUCAGCGACUUAUAUUCUGUAGCAAGGUUAACCGAAUAGGGGAGCCGAAGGGAAACCGAGUCUUAACUGGGCGUUAAGUUGCAGGGUAUAGACCCGAAACCCGGUGAUCUAGCCAUGGGCAGGUUGAAGGUUGGGUAACACUAACUGGAGGACCGAACCGACUAAUGUUGAAAAAUUAGCGGAUGACUUGUGGCUGGGGGUGAAAGGCCAAUCAAACCGGGAGAUAGCUGGUUCUCCCCGAAAGCUAUUUAGGUAGCGCCUCGUGAAUUCAUCUCCGGGGGUAGAGCACUGUUUCGGCAAGGGGGUCAUCCCGACUUACCAACCCGAUGCAAACUGCGAAUACCGGAGAAUGUUAUCACGGGAGACACACGGCGGGUGCUAACGUCCGUCGUGAAGAGGGAAACAACCCAGACCGCCAGCUAAGGUCCCAAAGUCAUGGUUAAGUGGGAAACGAUGUGGGAAGGCCCAGACAGCCAGGAUGUUGGCUUAGAAGCAGCCAUCAUUUAAAGAAAGCGUAAUAGCUCACUGGUCGAGUCGGCCUGCGCGGAAGAUGUAACGGGGCUAAACCAUGCACCGAAGCUGCGGCAGCGACACUAUGUGUUGUUGGGUAGGGGAGCGUUCUGUAAGCCUGUGAAGGUGGCCUGUGAGGGUUGCUGGAGGUAUCAGAAGUGCGAAUGCUGACAUAAGUAACGAUAAAGCGGGUGA